GGUUCGAUGGUGUAGUUGGUUAUCACGCUUGUCUAACAUUCUUCCAAAUGCUGGACACAAGAGGUCCCCAGUUCGAGCCUGGGUCGAAUCA